AUUGAACGCUGGCGGCAGGCCUAACACAUGCAAGUCGAGCGGGGGUAGCAAUACCCUAGCGGCGAACGGGUGAGGAAUGCUUGGGAAUCUGCCUCGUCGUGGGGGAUAACGUUCCGAAAGGAACGCUAAUACCGCAUACGUCCUAAGGGAGAAAGGGGGGGAACUCCGGACCUCUCGCUAUGAGAUGAGCCCAAGCGGGAUUAGCACGUUGGUGGGGUAAAGGCUCACCAAGGCGACGAGCCCUAGCGGGUCUGAGAGGAUGAUCAGCCACACUGGAACUGAGACACGGUCCAGACUCCUACGGGAGGCAGCAGUGGGGAAUAUUGGACAAUGGGCGCAAGCCUGAUCCAGCCAUGCCGCGUGUGUGAAGAAGGCCUUCGGGUUGUAAAGCACUUUAAGCGAGGAGGAAGGUUCGUUACUUAAUACGUAACGGAAUUGACGUUACUCGCAGAAUAAGCACCGGCUAACUCUGUGCCAGCAGCCGCAGUAAGAC
rnacentral:rRNA from 1 species